rnacentral:rRNA from 1 species
AACGAACGCUGGCGGCAGGCCUAACACAUGCAAGUCGAACGCUGUAGUAAUACAGAGUGGCAGACGGGAGAGUAACGCGUGGGAACAUGCCCUUCGGUUCGGAAUAACUCAGGGAAACUGGAGCUAAUACCGGAUACGCCAUUAGGUGGAAAGAUUUAUCGCCGAAGGAUUGGCCCGCGUCCGAUUAGCUAGUUGGUGAGGUAAUGGCUCACCAAGGCGACGAUCGGUAGCUGGUCUGAGAGGAUGAUCAGCCACACUGGGACUGAGACACGGCCCAGACUCCUACGGGAGGCAGCAGUGGGGAAUAUUGGACAAUGGGCGCAAGCCUGAUCCAGCCAUGCCGCGUGAGUGAUGAAGGCCCUAGGGUUGUAAAGCUCUUUCGCCAGGGACGAUAAUGACGGUACCUGGAUAAGAAGCCCCGGCUAACUUCGUGCCAGCCGCCGCGGUAAUAC